rnacentral:lncRNA from 1 species
AGAUCGGUGCAGUGCAGGCAGGUGGCAGACUGGCCGUGCCUCCACACGGGCCCUCCCUGGCCACCACUGUUCGGGAUUCAGUUCUUGUUUCUGUUGUUACUCAGAGGGCAUAGAGGAGACCGGCAUACCCAGCGGCCAAAGGCAGGGCCCAGGCGGGGGUGAGCACAGGCUGGGACUCUAUUCCCUGGGGUGAUGGAAGACUGGCUCUUGAGCUGCAUCCUUGGUAGCUUUUCCUUCUUCAUCUCAUUGCCAGUGAGGACACUGAGGAGGAGAAGGAGGACUGGUGAAAACGUCAUCAUGGACCUGACCUGCAUCUGGAGACCAUCCCUCAGAGGUGCUGCAGAGCUCCUUUCUGCCCAGGCAUUUACGGUGGGUGAGAACUUGGAGAGGCGAGCUCACGAGGGAGUUGGGGUUUUGACUUGGCCAUGACUACUCAGCUCAGGAUGAAAGCUGAUACUUUCUGAGUGCAUUCUUUGAUUAACCCUUCAAUCCUCACAAUCACCCCAUGUCACCAGGAGGAAACUGAGGCAAAGUCCACACAACUGGCAAAUCUGGUAUGACUCUCUUUCUGUCACAGCAGUUUGCUGGCAACAGACCUACAGCCAGAUGCUCAGGUGAGUUAGUUCCAGUGGCUGCUUUUUUGU